rnacentral:rRNA from 1 species
CAAUAGCGUAUACUAAAGUUGUUGCGAUUAAAAAGCUCGUAGUUGGAUCUCAGGCAUGGGCGCACGGUCCGCCUCGCGGCGGUCACUGUGUGUUUUGUUUCCCAUCCUACGCUUCCCGGUUAUCAGCCCAUGGUGCUCUUCACUGAGCGUUUUGGGUGGCCGGAACGUUUACUUUGAAGAAAUUAGAGUGUUCAAAGCAGGCACGUCGCCUGAAUAAUGGUGCAUGGAAUAAUGGAAUAGGACCUCGGUUCUAUUUUGCUGGUUUUCGGAACACGAGGUAAUGAUUAAGAGGGACAGACGGGGGCAUCCGUAUUGCGGUGUUAGAGGUGAAAUUCUUGGAUCAUCGCAGGACGAACAACUGCGAAAGCAUUUGCCAAGCAUGUUUUCAUUAG